rnacentral:lncRNA from 1 species
UUUCUGUUUGGUUGCCGCCCUAACGGCCAGAACUGAAGCACCUUGCAAGGAAUGAGGUUGGUUCUUGAAGUCCGUGCUGACUGGCUGGGCGCAUUUGCGCAUUUGCUUCUCUGGCUGCAAAAUGGCCCGCAACAGCACUCACUAAUUUGUUGCUAACUUCAGCAACUGUGCGGACAGGUCUCUGAGGCUUCUGAGCCGCCCUAUGUCCAGUAGAUCUGGGCGCCUCAGAACCUGUCACAGCCGACGGAAGCGUUUAUCUGAGUUUCUUGUUUCUUCCCAACCUUUUGAUUUUCGCACCAUUACGCGCUCAACUAUGCCUCUUCUUUUGUCCUAUGGUCUCAACUAAUUAAAGGAAGAAAAGCAA